rnacentral:rRNA from 1 species
UAAUAGUGUAUAUUAAAGUUGUUGCAGUUAAAAAGCUCGUAGUUGAAUGUUGGUGUCGAACGAGCGGUCAGCUUCGGCUGUACUGCUCUCUCGACUCCUUCCUUCUGUGGGCUACGUCGCACUUUACUGUGUGGCGCUAGGACGCAGAUCGUUUACUGUGAAAAAAUUAGAGUGUUCAAAGCAGGCCGUACGCUUGAAUACAUUAGCAUGGAAUAAUGGAAUAGGACGUCGGGCCUAUUUUGUUGGUUCUAGGACCGUCGUAAUGAUUAAUAGGGACAGUUGGGGCCGUUUAUAUUCCGUAGUCAGAGGUGAAAUUCUUGGAUUUACGGAAGAUAAACUACUGCGAAAGCAUUCGGCAAGGAUGUUUNCGUUA